rnacentral:tRNA from 1 species
GUCCCCGUAGCUCAGCUGGAUAGAGCGACCGCCUCCUAAGCGGUAGGCCGGCGGUUCAAAUCCGCCCGAGGACGCCA